AACGAACGCUGGUGGCGUGUCUUAUACAUGCAAGUCGAGCGAGGCAGCAAUGCCGAGCGGCGAACGGGUGAGUAACGCGUACGCAAUCUGCCCCAUAUCAGGAAAUACCCGUGCCAACGCGCGGUUAAUGUCCAGGAGAGUGGCCUGCUGCAUGGACGGUUGACUAGAGAUUUAUCGGUAUGGGACGAGCUUGCGUCCGAGUAGCUAGUGGGCGGGGCAACGGCCCACCAAGGCGACGAUCGGUAGCCGGCCUGAGAGGGUGAUCGGCCACAUUGGGACUGAGAUACGGCCCAGACUCCUACGGGAGGCAGCAGUAGGGAAUAUUGCACAAUGGGGGAAACCCUGAUGCAGCAACGCCACGUGUGGGAAGAAGCAUUUCGGUGUGUAAACCACUGUCAUGAGGGAAUAAGGCCCGCCUCCGGGCGGGAUUGAAUGUACCUUGAGAGGAAGCACCGGCAAACUUCGUGCCAGCAGCCGCAGUAACAC
rnacentral:rRNA from 1 species